CGGCGCACGGGUGAGUAACACGUAUCCAACCUGCCUUUUACUCGGGGAUAGGCUUUCGAAAGAAAGAUUAAUACCCGAUGGCAUAAUAUUUCCGCAUGGGAUUAUUAUUAAAGAAUUUCGGUAAAAGAUGGGGAUGCGUUCCAUUAGGCAGUUGGCGGGGUAACGGCCCACCAAACCUUCGAUGGAUAGGGGUUCUGAGAGGAAGGUCCCCCACAUUGGAACUGAGACACGGUCCAAACUCCUACGGGAGGCAGCAGUGAGGAAUAUUGGUCAAUGGGCGAGAGCCUGAACCAGCCAAGUAGCGUGAAGGAUGACUGCCCUAUGGGUUGUAAACUUCUUUUAUAGGGGAAUAAAGUGAGCCACGUGUGGCUUUUUGUAUGUACCCUAUGAAUAAGGAUCGGCUAACUCCGUGCCAGCAGCCGCGGUAAUACGGAGGAUCCGAGCGUUAUCCGGAUUUAUUGGGUUUAAAGGGAGCGUAGGUGGACAUGUAAGUCAGUUGUGAAAGUUUGCGGCUCAACCGUAAAAUUGCAGUUGAUACUGUGUGUCUUGAGUACAGUAGAGGUGGGCGGAAUUCGUGGUGUAGCGGUGAAAUGCUUAGAUA
rnacentral:rRNA from 1 species